rnacentral:tRNA from 1 species
CCUUCGAUAGCUCAGUUGGUAGAGCGGAGGACUGUAGGUUGAUAAUUGCAGGGUAUCCUUAGGUCGCUGGUUCAAUUCUGGCUCAAAGGA